rnacentral:lncRNA from 13 species
GGGUGUCACCUUCUGCAGGGAUCUCAGACACAGUUCCCCAUCCUGAUCUGGCCUAUGGGACUUCUUCUCCUAUAUAUAUACGGCUGUAAACCCAAGCACCAGUGUACAUAAAUGGACUCCCAUCAUCUUUCCAGCUCCACCAGAAGGCAGAUAGGGCAACUGCCAUCAAAGAGGGACUGCUGCAACCAAGUGACCUCCAGAGCUGACUGCUCCUCGGAAGACCUGGCCUCACUUUCGCUCUCCACACAGUUACUUCUGCUGGAGCACUUGUUGAUGCUAUCUCAUGAGGACAGUCAAGCAGACCUGCUAAGAGGUGCAUACAGCAAGGAACUGAGGUUUCUUGCCAUCAUAUCAUCAGGUCAUGAAACCUGGGAUGUUCUGACCUUUCCCUGAGGUAGAUCGCAAGCCCCUCACUGGAGAGGUACUCUCUUUAUACCUAGAGGAAAGGAGCGCCACUCUCUCUGAAGACACUGGGUGACAGAGAAGAAACUAAACAGACCGGCCUUGCUGACCUCCCCCAGGUUACUGCCAAAGAUCACACUUCUCCGUGACCACCCACUUCAUCAGAGUAGCAAAAACCACACAGGCUUCCCUGCUUGAGCCUUCCUUUCCUUAUGAAGGCUCCUGUCUCAGGUAAAACUUACACUAAACACAAAUGUGUGCUUUUCUCUUCCUGAUCUGUCUUUUAUUACAGGGGCCUUAGCCAUGAACGUCUCGGUGGGUGAAGAAAAUACAUUUUUUCCUCCCCUACAGCCUUCUUUCUUCAUUCAUAAGAUGAAGAGAGGUCUAGGGUUGAGCAAGGUGACCCUGAAGACCUUCCAGGCGAGGAUGUCCUGGACGGAUGACGCUGCGUGGUGUCUCUGUGCCAAGGAUGCUGUCCUUAGUGGGUGCAAAUCCAGGGAGCAGGAGUGAGGGGCAGGGAGAGCCGGGUUGGAGCGAGAGCCCGCAGGAGGGUGUCCCACUGAGCUGCAGCCCUGAGAAGCUCUACCCAGGCCUCGGGGCAGGGGGAAGGAGAGAAGGGAGGAGGCAUUUGCCCCCUGGUUCCGCGUGCUCCCCGGUAAAGGUUUGUCCUGUGGGGUGUUAAUGCG